GAUGAACGCUGGCGGCGUGCCUAAUACAUGCAAGUCGAGCGAACGGACGAGAAGCUUGCUUCUCUGAUGUUAGCGGCGGACGGGUGAGUAACACGUGGAUAACCUACCUAUAAGACUGGGAUAACUUCGGGAAACCGGAGCUAAUACCGGAUGAUAUUUUGAACCGCAUGGUUCAAAAGUGAAAGACGGUCUUGCUGUCACUUAUAGAUGGAUCCGCGCUGCAUUAGCUAGUUGGUAAGGUAACGGCUUACCAAGGCAACGAUGCAUAGCCGACCUGAGAGGGUGAUCGGCCACACUGGAACUGAUACACGUUCCAGACUCCUGCGGGAGGCAACAGUAGGGAAUCUUCCGCAAUGGGCGAAAGCCUGACAGAGCAACGCCGCGUGAGUGAUGAAGGUCUUCGGAUCGUAAAACUCUGUUAUUAGGGAAGAACAUAUGUGUAAGUAACUGUGCACAUCUUGACGGUACCUAAUCAGAAAGCCACGGCUAACUACGUG
rnacentral:rRNA from 1 species